rnacentral:rRNA from 1 species
CAGCAGCCGCGGGAAUACGAAGGGGGCUAGCGUUGUUCGGAUUUACUGGGCGUAAAGCGCACGUAGGCGGAUAUUUAAGUCAGGGGUGAAAUCCUGGAGCUCAACUCCAGAACUGCCUUUGAUACUGGGUAUCUAGAGUCCGGAAGAGGUGAGUGGAACUCCUAGUGUAGAGGUGGAAUUCGUAGAUAUUAGGAAGAACACCAGUGGCGAAGGCGGCUCACUGGUCCGGUACUGACGCUGAGGUGCGAAAGCGUGGGGAGCAAACAGGAUUAGAUACCCGAGUAGUCCCUGUCUCUUAUAC